UCCAGACUCCUACGGGAGGCAGCAGUGGGGAAUAUUGCGUAAUGGGCGAAAGCCUGACGCAGCGACGCCGCGUGAGGGAUGAAGGUCUUCGGAUCGUAAACCUCUGUCAGCAGGGAAGAACGGUCACUGUGCUAAUCAGCAGUGAAUUGACGGUACCUGCAAAGGAAGCACCGGCUAACUCCGUGCCAGCAGCCGCGGUAAUACGGAGGGUGCGAGCGUUAAUCGGAAUUACUGGGCGUAAAGCGCUCGUAGGCGGUAUGUCAAGUCAAGGGUGAAAUCCCCGCGCUCAACGUGGGAACUGCCUUUGAAACUGGCAAACUGGAGUGUGUGAGAGGAUAGUGGAAUUCCAGGUGUAGGAGUGAAAUCCGUAGAUAUCUGGAGGAACAUCAGUGGCGAAGGCGGCUUUCUGGACUGUUACUGACACUGAGGCACGAAAGUGUGGGGAGCAAACAGGAUUAGAUACCCCUGUA
rnacentral:rRNA from 1 species